GACGAACGCUGGCGGCGUGCCUAAUACAUGCAAGUCGAACGAAGCUUUUUUAACUGGUGCUUGCACCGACUUAAACAACUGAGUGGCGAACGGGUGAGUAACACGUGGGUAACCUGCCCCAAAGCGGGGGAUAACAUUUGGAAACAGAUGCUAAUACCGCAUAACCACAGAAACCACAUGGUUUCUGUGUCAAAGAUGGUUUCGGCUAUCACUUUGGGAUGGACCCGCGGCGUAUUAGCUAGUUGGUAAGGUAAUGGCUUACCAAGGCAAUGGUACGUAGCCGAACUGAGAGGUUGAUCGGCCACAUUGGGACUGAGACACGGCCCAAACUCCUACGGGAGGCAGCAGUAGGGAAUCUUCCACAAUGGACGAAAGUCUGAAGGAGCAACGCCGCGUGAGUGAAGAAGGUUUUCGGAUCGUAAAACUCUGUUGUCAGAGAAGAACGUGUGCGAGAGUAACUGUUCGUGCAGUGACGGUAUCUGGCCAGAAAGCCACGGCUAACUACGUGCCAGCAGCCGCGGUAA
rnacentral:rRNA from 1 species